rnacentral:rRNA from 1 species
UACGAAGGGGGCUAGCGCUGUUCGGAAUUACUGGGCGUAAAGCGCGUGUAGGCGGGCCGUUAAGUCGGGGGUGAAAGCCCAGAGCUCAACUCUGGAACUGCCUUCGAUUCUGGCGGCCUGGAGCAUGAUAGAGGCGAGUGGAAUUGCGAGGGUAGAGGUGAAAUUCGGAGAUAUUCGCAGGAACACCAGUGGCGAAGGCGACUCGCUGGGUCAUUGGUGACGCUGCGACGCGAAAGCGUGGGGAGUAAGCAGG